GAUGGACCCGCGGUGCAUUAGCUAGUUGGUGAGGUAACGGCUCACCAAGGCCACGAUGCAUAGCCGACCUGAGAGGGUGAUCGGCCACAUUGGGACUGAGACACGGCCCAAACUCCUACGGGAGGCAGCAGUAGGGAAUCUUCGGCAAUGGACGAAAGUCUGACCGAGCAACGCCGCGUGAGUGAAGAAGGUUUUCGGAUCGUAAAACUCUGUUGUUAGAGAAGAACAAGGGUGAGAGUAACUGUUCGCCCCUUGACGGUAUCUAACCAGAAAGCCACGGCUAACUACGUGCCAGCAGCCGCGGUUAUACGUAGGUGGCAAGCGUUGUCCGGAUUUAUUGGGCGUAAAGCGAGCGCAGGCGGUUUCUUAAGUCUGAUGUGAAAGCCCCCGGCUCAACCGGGGAGGGUCAUUGGAAACUGGGAGACUUGAGUGCAGAAGAGGAGAGUGGAAUUCCAUGUGUAGCGGUGAAAUGCGUAGAUAUAUGGAGGAACACCAGUGGCGAAAGCGGCUCUCUGGUCUGUAACUGUCGCUGAGGCUCGAAAGCGUGGGGAGCAAACAGGAUUAGAUACCCUGGUAGUCCACGCC
rnacentral:rRNA from 1 species